rfam:Macrostomum lignano uti_cns_0006439, whole genome shotgun sequence.
GUCGGCUAUGGCGACUAUGUCCCGCGUAGUCUACCAGGAAAGCUUGUUGGCAGCAUCUGUGUAGUGGCUGGCGUGAUGACUAUUGCCCUGCCAGUGCCGGUUAUUGUCACAAAC